CAUGGCAACCAUACCGUUCUCUGAAUGCCCGAUCCUGUUAGAUUUCAAAAGCUAAGCAGUGCCAGGCCUGAUUAGUACUUGGAUGGGAAAUCGCCUUGGAAGACCAGGGGCCAUUA
rnacentral:rRNA from 12 species